UAGCCGCGGUAAUACGAAGGGUGCAAGCGUUAAUCGGAAUUACUGGGCGUAAAGCGUGCGUAGGCGGUUUGUUAAGUCUGCUGUGAAAUCCCCGGGCUCAACCUGGGAAUGGCAGUGGAUACUGGCAAGCUAGAGUGUGUCAGAGGAUGGUGGAAUUCCCGGUGUAGCGGUGAAAUGCGUAGAGAUCGGGAGGAACAUCAGUGGCGAAGGCGGCCAUCUGGGACAACACUGACGCUGAGGCACGAAAGCGUGGGGGGCAAACAGGAUUAGAUACCCGCGUAGUCCCUGUCUCUUAUACACA
rnacentral:rRNA from 1 species